AGAGGUGGCGAGCGUUGUUCGGAUUUACUGGGCGUAAAGGGUGCGUAGGCGGUCUUGUGUGUCGGAUGUCGAAAUCUUACCGUCCAACGGGUGAAACUGCAUUCGAAACUGCAGGACUAGAGUACAGGAGGGAGAGCGGAAUUCUCGGUGUAGCGGUGAAAUGCGUAGAUAUCGAGAAGAACGCCGGCGGCGAAGGCGGCUCUCUGGACUGAUACUGACGCUGAGGCACGAAAGCUGGGGGAGCGAAGAGGAUUAGAUACCCUCGUAGUCCCAGCCGUAAACGGUGUGCACUUGGUGUGGGUGGCUUUGUCCCCAUCCGUGCCGUAGCUAACGCGUUAAGUGCACCGCCUGGGGAGUACGGCCGCAAGGCUA
rnacentral:rRNA from 1 species